CCAGUGCUCUGAUUUUUUUUUUUUCACUCUAUUAACUGGCCUGGGAUGAAAUAAUCAUCUAUGAAGUUAGAAAAUUAGAUUUCAGACUGCCUUAAUGAAUGAGGAUCCCAUCUCUAUUUAUACCAUACUGCAUAUAAGUGACGACCAGGUACUACUUAACGACUAAUGCUAGAGCUAUGGAAGUAAAUUCCAGGUUAUAGGCAUGGACCGACAAACAAUAUAAAGCUACAGUAUAUGGGUAAAUAUCUUUAAGUAAGAGACUUAAUUGUAUAUACAUAUAUGUGUUAUGAGAUUUAUAUUUCAUAUGCAAAUAUCUAUUUAUAUUAGAGUGUAAACGAAGGAUUCCACAAAUAUUAACUCUAUUGGAAAGAGAGAGAGAGGGAGAGGGAACCUAUAAGAACUCAGUUUGGUUUCUUGAUGCUAACACCCAUAAUUGUGAACCUACAACUUCUUACAUGCAUUGCUUCCACGACAGAUUUGGAUUCUGCAAAACUAGUAUCCUUCACCCCCUAUAUAGUUUAAAGAAUAGGGCCAUGUUUGUAUUGGCUUGACAGUUUUGUUUUAUUUUUCUUGCUAACUGGUAAAUAAAAAAAAAAUAAUUGUCUUCCCUUCACACAUGGUUAACAAUGUUACCUACCAGAGAGAAUGAUGCCAAAUGUAACUGUGAAAAUAGAACAAUUUUAAAGGAUGUGAUGAUUAAGUAAGCUAAUGACUCUUUGUAUUCUCCAAUCAUUUGCAUUGCAUGUGUGCUGGGUUAUAUGGAUGGAUGGAGAGCUGCUCUGGAUGUUUCUUACCAGUGCUUUGCAAUAUAGCAAAAUGGGAUGCUUCCAUUUGACAAGUUUAAGAAAAA